GGUGACCUAGGAUGAGCAUUGAUGUAUUGGUUGUUUCUUUGCCCCUAGUGGUUUUGUAUUUCUUUGUCCCUUUUGAGGGUUUUUUGUCGUGUUUCUUCGCCCCUUUGGGGGAUUUUGUAAUUGUGAUAGACAACCACGCCCCUUGAGGGCACUUUUUACGUGUACUGCCUUUAUCGUUAUUCUCUUUCAUAGUUGCUUUGUGUUUGUAAA
rnacentral:lncRNA from 1 species